GAUGCUUCAUCAGCAGUAAAAAUACAGACAUGAAGAUUCACUUCCAGUCCAAUUCAAGUAAUUACUCGAGUAAAUAAUUUCAUAUUGCAUUGGAGUAGCAUCAUUCAGUACUUUGCUGUUUUUCAGUUGGUCAGCAUGCCAAUUUGGUCAUUCAUAAUUAUUUGUUGUGAGUAAAUAAUUUGAUAUCUUUACCUAAUAAUAAAGAGGCUAUCGCUUCUGUUGGAAAACCCACCGUGGCUAUUUUGCAAAAAGGUCCCUGCAUUUUCCCAUAUUCAACCCGCUGGCCUCGGUAAGUGAAUAAAAAACUGUUUGUUUUUUUGUCAACCCUUUGUAUACGUUUGACCGCAGAUCAAGCAUAUCCAGCGGCGAUCCGAUCGGGACACGACGGAGGACGACGACGGCAAGGCUCCGAGAGGCGAGGGACGACAGGGAAGCCGCGGACGUCGGCGGCGAGUAAUGGAGGCCGGCGGCGACCUUGCUCCAUGGCCACGGAGAUAGGCAGCGACGGUGCUCCAUGGCUAUGGAGGCUCUAUCUCCGGGGAAGAAUAGAUGAGGUGAGAUGGAGAGAAUGGAGAGUAGGGACGGCACGGCUACCUGCUACUAGUCCGACGGCGGCUCCGGUCGCUAGAUUCAGGAAAUCGUCUAAAGUGCUCCAACCAGUCUCUUUUGAAUCUCCAUCCAUGUUGAAGUUCCACUACUUCCCAACUCCCAACGAUGAUGCAAUCCAUGUUGGUUGAUGAGGAGGUCGUUCAGUCGUCUCAAAUCAUGCCAAGAGCAAACUGCAAUUCACAUUGGAAUGUGUGUGCAGAAGGAGGCACAUCGAAUGCAGUUUGAAAGAUGUGUUCAACUGUUUUAGCUGCCUCGCAAAUUUUACAGAAAUUAUGAAUGACAGAGAACCAAUUUGAGACAACAGGUUGCCGUCGAAUUCCAGGAAUAAAACUAACUUCACGAUGUGAUUAGUCUCUUACCAGAGUACAAGUUCAUUCUCUGGUGCAAAAGGUGAGCAUUUAGGGCACACUGUGUAGCAAGGAUAUGUUGUAGAUUGUAUUAGUCUUCUGUGGACUGACUUGUGAGAGGUUGGGAUUCUCAAGCUUGCUUGGUCGGAACCUUUUCUUUUGAGUCGAUUAAUGAACGAUGGGCAUGAGGACAUCUCUGGACUAAGUACGCCGUAUGUGUACCACUACAUACAGAUAGCUCCCUCGUCAUAUCUCGACAGAAGAAGAGCACCUUUGAUCAAUAGAGUUGCAUUUCUUUCUUGUUACUGCAAUUGUAUGUGCCUUGCGGACUAAACUUUUUUCUUUCCUUUUUAAUUUCAGGUAGUUCUUUCAAAGAUAGCUCGCUCGUCGUAUCUCGAUAGAAAAAGAACAACUUUGAUCGAUGGAGAUGGAUUUAUUUCCUGUUGGUGCGAUUAUAUGUGCCCUGCUCACUAAACUAUCUUCUUUCCUAUUUACCAAUAAAGAAAAUAAUCAGGUUGGUCAAGGGAGGGGAAUGUGUCUCCUCCACUAUUACAUUACAUCCGAUACUAUCUAAUUAGAAGCAUGCUCACUAGAAUGCAUUUUUAUUCUAAUUUGCAAAUUUAGGAUUCUACCUACAAGACUUGCAGUCUUUGUAUAAAUUAAGAUUAAGCAGGACAAUGUUCUAGGUUUAA